rnacentral:rRNA from 1 species
AUGGUCAGGGAUGGAUCCAGCAUUAAUAUCUGGUGUGAUCCUUGGAUAGCUAGUGACGGUACAAGACGUCGUUUGACCACAAGAGGGAAUUGUAUUCCCACAAAAAUUUCAGAGCUCAUCAAUCCGACCACCAUGACAUGGGACGAGGAUCUGGUUCGGGAUGUGUUUCAGGUAGUGGAUUCAAGGAUCAUUCUGGUUACCCCCAUUACAGACGAGUUUGAAGACUUUCCGUCGUGGCACUAUGAUAGUAAGGGUCAGUUUUCAGUCAAAUCUGCAUAUCAACUUUAUGUGCAAGGGUGCGGUAGUGUACUGGAAGCGACUAGUUCUCAACCGAUGGAGGAGGAGGUCGAGUGGAAGAAAAUAUGGGCUCAUAAUAGUCUUCCUGUCAAGCUAAACCUUAAACGACGAGGUAUAGAGUGUGACACUUUAUGCAUUUGCUGUAGAAGUUUGGAUGAGGACGGAUGCCAUCUUUUUCUUACAUGUAAGGAGGUUAAGAAGAUUUGGCGCGUGGUAGAUAUGGAGGGAGUCCGACAAAAACUAUGUUCUUGCAGGAAUGCCAAGGAGAUAGUGCAGGAAAUCUUAAGCUAA